rnacentral:lncRNA from 1 species
UCACCCGACAGCAGAUGGAGCCUUCUGAGUCACCACUCGCCUAGUCUGCCCAUGACUGCUACUUUAAAUUUGGUUCUCUUUCUGAAAAGUCUAGUUCCUUCUUUCUUGGGGUGUCUAAGAUCCCCGAUGACUACCAGGUUUUUGACCUUGAUCCACCCUGCCCAGUAUCAGACUUCAGAAUUUCUCAGAAGUGUAUGAGGUGUCGGACUGUUACUUUUGAUAAAGGCGUGUUUUGUGAGACGAUAACACGAUUCUCAUUCAGUGCAUCAAAUAACCUGGAAGUCCCAAAGAAACAAAUUUACCAGCACGCUGUUAAGUUUGCAUCUGAGAUCCGCAUUGGCUUUUCUAACUGCACAGAGACUUCCUGCAGAGCUAUAUGAGUUCUGACUCAUGCCAUCGGCAUGGCCCAAGCAGUCAAGUUAAGCCUACGAUUCUAUUCUUACUAUACGAUCAGAGCACAGCAUAUGUAUAUGUCAAUUCCAUGAAUUCUUAAAACAAAACCAUUUAUUUUUUUUUUACACUAUUGAUAGGAGAAAAACCCUCAGCAGUUUGCCUUAGCUGGAUAGCUACUCAGAACAAACCAGAUUUUAGAAUAAAGAUGGCCAUGGACUUUAUCUCCGAUGGUGAGUUGUUGGCCUAGCAUGCCCAGAGCUGGGUUUGACCCUAGCACUGUAUAAACUGGGCACUGUUGCAGGAAGAUCAUUCCUACAGGUUCAGGUUUAUCCGCAGAUACAUAGUGAGUUUAAGGUCAGGUCAGCCUGGAAUAGGUAAGACUGUGACUCCAAAAAAAAAGUUUUUAAGACACAUGCUUUGAUGUAUUUUUCUUUAAAGCAAGGUAGGUUGACGGCGUUGCUUAGCUGGACUUCUUCAGAAACUUGUUUCAAUAAACAUGUUUUAAAAAAUCC